rnacentral:lncRNA from 1 species
UAAAAUCAUAUCAAAUCCUAAAAAGUCUAAUAGUAUUAAGUCUACAAAUAAUUAUAUUUCUGAAGCUUUUAUCUUGCAAUUUUUAUAUGCACAGUGAGCUUUUAGUAAUCCCCUAGCAGGAGUCUUUACCAUUAAUAUUUCCUCUAAAGGUUUUGACCUAAUAUCUAGUUUACAAGUAAGUGCACAGGAGAUAAAAGAAUGAGUAGUACCUGUAUUGAUUAAAGCCUUGGCAGAAGCAUCAUGAAUAGAAAGCAUACCUUGGAUAAUGACAGGAGUAGGGAGAGCACAGGGUUCAUCUAGGUGAUAUACACGACCCUUGACCACAAGCCUUGUCAUGUCCUUCGAUCACUGAGGGCAGUCCUUUAUAAAGUGUUGGGUGCUUCCGCACCGAUAGUAGGCGUACUUGAUACGCCGAUAGGGUAGGUUACCAUGCGAGCGACCACAAUGCUGACAUGGCUAGGAAGGUCAGGAAGGCUAUCCAGUAGGAAGUAGGACAGGGGAAGGGCAACUAGGGUUUGUUUAUUGAGGUGGCUACUUACUGGGUCAAGUAAUCUCCUUCUAGGUUAUUGGUUAUGAAAUCGAGCAAUGCAUUGGUGCCUGACCGAGAUGAGGUCUUUGGCUAACUAGGCAUGUUCUAGUGCCUCUACGUACGAGCUAGGUCUCAGAAUCGUAACUCGAUCAUAAAUGUUGGCAUGAAGACCUUUCAGAAACUUCUUAACUUUACGACUUUUGAGGGUGACCAUUAAAGGGAAAAUCUAGACAAUUGGACAAAUCAGGCUGCAUACUAAGCAACUGUCAGACUCCCUUGGCAGAGGUCUUGAAAUUCCUUCUCCUUCUUUUCUUGGACAUAGGCUAGAAAAAUGUUAUCAAAGAAUGCAUCCAUGAAAACUUCCUAGGUGGUAGGGGUAGGCAGGACUUCUUUCUUAAGUUGCCAUCAGUGUUCUACUUCACCAUUUAGCAUAAAGGUUGUUAGGGGGACUUUCUAUUCCUCAGUUAGGUAUAGGAUAGAGAACAGUUUCUCUAUCUCCAGGAUCCAGGCUUCGGCUACCAAGGGGUCUGGGCCACCUUUGAAAUGUAGCGGGUUAAGUUUCCUAAACUCUACUAUGUUAUGAGAGAUGGACCUCUAAGUUGUUCGGUACUCUAGGGCAGGGUGUUGACAUGGGUUUGCUAGAUUUUGUCUUACGGCUGCAGUCAAUCCUUGGAUAGCUCAGAAGAAUUCGGUAAACUUAGCCUUGUUGGAUGGUCCUGGGCCUCACGUCUUUCGGUACUUUCUAUGGAAGGUCUUCUAUGCAUCAUUCCUAUAAAAGAAAGAAAGACACAAGUUGGUGGUCUAAUUUGGAAAAGGUGACUCAUUUUCCUAGAUAUCCUAAGGGUCUUUCUACCUAUGGCCUCAAUUGUAAGGGAUUUGGUCCAUGUAACUGCUCUGAUACCAUCUGUGACAUCCCAAAUAUUAAUUAAGAUAUGUGGGUGUCAGAUAGAGAAAUAAAUUACGAGUGCAUGAUAAAAAUUAUAUGCAGUGGAGCAAAUUAAUACAAAUUCCUUAUAAAAUAUGAGUUCCAAAUACACAUAUAACUAAGGACAAAAGUGGCUACAAAAUAUAAAUAUCAAAAUAGAAAAAAAAAGAGCCACUUCUAUCAUUAUGCUAUUGGACUCGUCAGAGUGCGGAAGUAAUCAUGCACUUAAGGUUUGCGGAUCCACAAGAUCCUCAUAGCCUUCAAUAGGUAGGUCAGCUAACGAUCCCUCACUAUCUUCCUCAUUUAGGAGGACAUGGAAAGAAUGAGUUUCAUAUGCUUAGUAAGAAAAAUAGUAUUUAAAUAAUAUCGUAAGGCUUAAAAGGUGAAUAAUUAUAUCGUAAACACUUAUCAUUAGGUCACGUCAGAGUCCUAUCCUACCUUAUGAAAAUAAUUUAUUUAUUAAAGAAAUAUCAUGUCAUAGUCACAACAAUAAAAAACAAACAGCAUAUUUGACAAUAGAGAAAAUCAAAUAAAUUAUGAAUGCUCAUAUUUUUGUGUCAUGUUUCGCAAAAUCGUUCUGACUUCCAUCUCUGAUGCAGAUACAAAUUUCUAACUACCCAUGUGGAAUGACCAGAUACAGAUAUAGAUAAAGACAAUUUGCUCAGGGACAU